CCUACGGGAGGCAGCAGUGAGGAAUAUUGGUCAAUGGGCGAGAGCCUGAACCAGCCAAGUAGCGUGCAGGAUGACGGCCCUAUGGGUUGUAAACUGCUUUUAUGCGGGGAUAAAGUGAGCCACGUGUGGCUUAUUGCAGGUACCGCAUGAAUAAGGACCGGCUAAUUCCGUGCCAGCAGC
rnacentral:rRNA from 1 species